AGGAGUUAAGGCAGAUGUGGAGGCACAACGGGUGAUACCAGACACACACCAAGCACAUUAUGUUCGGACAUUCAAUCAUGACAUGAUCCAUGUGGACGCUGUCCAUUGAGGAAAGAGUUUGUUCAGAGGUUUCUGGAUAGAAUUAAUUCCAAAGAUGGGAAAAAGUCCACAUCCAGACAAGGAGCAAGCAAAAAGACAAGGAACUUGGUGCAGAGAAAAGCUGUGGCCAUUAACCCCCAUGUGAACAGCUUCAUGCAGUCCCUGAUAGAGUUUGAAUGGACGACUUCAAAGUAAAGGCCAGUGUCUGUCUGCCACAGUUUAAUGCAUUUAUUUUUAGUGUUCAAUGAAAUUCAAGUAGAAUAUUUAAAACUAUGGGCCAGUGUUCUUUUGACCACAGUGAAAUUUUACCUUUUAGUUGAUGAUGGACUUUAAACUGAAAACUUCAAACUAUGGAACAGUGUUCUUUUUACCACAGUGAAAUGUUACCUUUUAGUCGAUGAUGGACUUUAAACUGAAAACUUCAAACUAUGGACUAGUGUUCUAUUUGCCAGAGUUAAAUAU